rnacentral:lncRNA from 1 species
GUUGGAGAACGUUGGUGUCACUUCCAUCAAAUGGGUCCAUGACUGAAACAUCCUCUCGGCUGCAUCUGUAAAAAAAAUCUGUAGUGUGUUGGAGAACGUUGGUGUCACUUUCAUCAAACGGGCCCUUUAACAAGCUCAUGGUAGAGUGAUCUUGUUACUAUUGUAUAGUGCUGCGGAAACUAUGCGCUACCCUCCCUGGUCUAGUACAACGGAGUCUAUUCAAGGUCUAUGACUGUAACAUCCCCCUGCUGCAAUCUGCAAAAAUCAAAAUUUUAGAAUUAAACAUCUGUUGGUGAACUCUGAAAUGAAACAUAAAUAAAUAUACAACAUUACACAUAUAUAAGAAUUAAAUCAAUUAAACUUUAUUUU